rnacentral:rRNA from 1 species
UACGGAGGGGGCGAGCGUUCUUCGGCAUUCUUGGGCGUAAAGGGCGCGUAGGCGGCUUGCUGUGUCCAAGGUGAAAUCCCUCGGCUCAACUGAGGAACUGCCUUUGAAACUGUCUGGCUUGAGGCCGGGAGAGGGUAGUGGAAUUCCCAGUGUAGCGGUGAAAUGCGUAGAUACUGGGAGGAACACCGGUGGCGAAGGCGGCUACCUGGACCGGUUCUGACGCUGAGGCGCGAAAGCGUGGGUAGCAAACAGG